AUACGGAGGGUGCAAGCGUUGUUCGGAAUCACUGGGCGUAAAGGGCGCGCAGGCGGUUUGGUAAGUCAGAUGUGAAAGCCCAUGGCUCAACCAUGGAAGUGCAUUUGAAACUGUCAGACUUGAGUACUAGAGGGGAAAGUGGAAUUCCCGGUGUAGAGGUGAAAUUCGUAGAUAUCGGGAGGAAUACCGGUGGCGGAGGCGACUUUCUGGCUAGAUACUGACGCUGAGGCGCGAAAGCGUGGGGAGCAAACAGGAUUAGAAACCCCAGUAGUCC
rnacentral:rRNA from 1 species